GUGUCAGCAGCCGCGGUAACACGUAGGGCGCAAGCGUUGUCCGGAAUUAUUGGGCGUAAAGAGCUCGUAGGCGGUUUGCUGCGUCCGCUGUGAAAACCCAGGGCUCAACCCUGGGCUUGCAGUGGAUACGGGCAGACUAGAGGUAGGUAGGGGAGAAUGGAAUUCCCGGUGUAGCGGUGAAAUGCGCAGAUAUCGGGAGGAACACCGGUGGCGAAGGCGGUUCUCUGGGCCUUACCUGACGCUGAGGAGCGAAAGCGUGGGGAGCGAACAGGAUUAGAAACCCUCGUAGUCC
rnacentral:rRNA from 1 species